UGGGGAAUAUUGGCACAAUGGGCGCAAGCCUGAUGCAGCAACGCCGCGUGAGGGAUGACGGCCUUCGGGUUGUAAACCUCUUUUAGCAGGGAAGAAGCGAAAGUGACGGUACCUGCAGAAAAAGCGCCGGCUAACUACGUGCCAGCAGCCGCGGUAAUACGUAGGGCGCAAGCGUUAUCCGGAAUUAUUGGGCGUAAAGAGCUCGUAGGCGGUUUGUCGCGUCUGCUGUGAAAUCCCGAGGCUCAACCUCGGGUCUGCAGUGGGUACGGGCAGACUAGAGUGCGGUAGGGGAGAUUGGAAUUCCUGGUGUAGCGGUGGAAUGCGCAGAUAUCAGGAGGAACACCGAUGGCGAAGGCAGAUCUCUGGGCCGUAACUGACGCUGAGGAGCGAAAGGGUGGGGAGCAAACAGGCUUAGAUACCCUGGUAGUCCACCCCGUAAACGUUGGGAACUAGUUGUGGGGUCCAUUCCACGGAUUCCGUGACGCAGCUAACGCAUUAAGUUCCCCGCCUGGGGAGUACGGCCGCAAGGCUAAACUCAAAUGAAUUGACGGGGUCAUAGCUGUUUCCU
rnacentral:rRNA from 1 species